GAUUUUCGGGGCUCUGCUACAUCUGCCUCCCAGAUCUUCCCACUUAAUCUCUUGACCUGUGUAAAUCUCAACCAAGCAUCAUCAGGAGAACUUAUUACAUAGCUUCUGAUUCAGUAUGUUGCUGAAGAGCCAAGGACUGUCCAGUUGAAGCAAUCUCCCUGAUGAUACUGGCACUGCUAACCCCAGGACCACACAGACCAGCAAUGCCUCACAAGACCUCUGUGCUUCUUUCAAACAUUAUAUUCUACAAAGUCAUGUCAAUUGCUUUACCAGUCAUGUGGCUUGAAUAAAGGACACAUUGCCCACCCCCACAAAGAUGUGUGCUGAUGGAUCAGAAGGAUCUCUUUCAAGUUAGGAAGCAAGCUAUAGCACUGAUGAGAAUUAGAACUAAGAGAGUAGAUCAAAUCUACCCUCAUGGAACCCUGGAGCCCUCUGAUGCUAGCCUUCAUCCAGCAGCUGGUGGAAGUUGAAGCAGACACCCACAACUAAUCACUGAACUGAACUGGAAUCCAGUUGCAGAGAAGGAUGAAUGAAGAGCAAAGGGGUCCAGACCAGGCUGGUGAAACCCACAGAAACAGCUGAACUGAACAGGGAGCUCUUGGUCCCCAGAUUGAUAACCGGGAUACCAGUAUGGGACUGAUCCAGACCCCAGGAAUGUGAGUUUCAGUGAGGAGACCUCAAAUCUACAGGACCUCCUGUAGUUGUUCAGUACUUAUCCUUAGCAUAGUUGUGGACUUUGGGAGCCCAAUCCACAUACAGGUAUACUCCCUGAGCCAAGACACAUGGGGGUGGGCCUAGGCCCCAUCCCAAAGGAUAUGAUAGACUCUGAUGACACCCUAUGGAAGGCCUCACUGUCCCUGGGGAGCAGAAAGGAUAUGUGAUAGGUUGGG
rnacentral:lncRNA from 1 species